rnacentral:rRNA from 1 species
CCUACGGGCGGCAGCAGUGGGGGAUAUUGGACAAUGGGGGAAACCCUGAUCCAGCGACGCCGCGUGAGUGAAGAAGUACUUCGGUAUGUAAAGCUCUAUCAGCAGGGAAGAAAGAAAUGACGGUACCUGAGUAAGAAGCUCCGGCUAACUACGUGCCAGCCGCCGCGGUAAUCCGUAGGGGGCAAGCGUUAUCCGGAAUUACUGGGUGUAAAGGGCGCGUAGACGGUAAUGCAAGUCUGGAGUGAAAGGCGGGGGCCCAACCCACGGACUGCUCUGGAAACUGUGUAACUGGAGUGCAGGAGAGGCAGGCGGAAUUCCUAGUGUAGCGGUGAAAUGCGUAGAUAUCAGGAGGAACACCAGUGGCGAAGGCGGCCUGCUGGACUGUAACUGACGUUGAGGCUCGAAAGCGUGGGUAGCAAACAGGAUUAGAUACCCCAGUAGUC